UUGAUUUUUUUUUUUUUUUCUUUAAUAGAAUGCAUAUUUAUUAAUGAACGAUAUACCUUUCGUUGGGAUUUUACUAGGAGUUGAAAAGGCAGCUGCCAAAUUUAAGGUGAAAAAAGAGAUGGUACAAGAGCUGAUAGCAGACUUGAAUUUUGACUCACAC
rnacentral:ribozyme from 1 species